rnacentral:misc_RNA from 1 species
GUGAGAGAGGGAGUAUGUGCUCCAAGAACACACAAUAAUCUCCCAUAUAAGUUCUCAACAAAAAUAACACAGAAGGUCAUAAUAUAGAAAAGAGGAAUUAUACAAAAACAGGGAAAAAACAAAAAAAAGUAAAACACACCGACUCACAGGAGGUCAAAUGAUCUUUUGAAGAAAAAAGUGCUUCAGUUUUCAAUAGGUCAAUCCAAUUAAGCCAAUAAAGAUUUAGCUCAAGAACAGGAAACAAAUCAAAAGCAGUAUUCUUAAUCUUCAAGCUUAGAAAUGGAAUAUUGCAGAGGGAAAGGCAAAAUGACCAGAGAUGACUUUCUCAGCAAAUCCUAAACAAACUUUAUAUGAGGGUAGCAGCACGUCAAAUGCAUAACGAUAAGUAUUAAAGACACCGACUCAAACAAGGUCUAAUGAUUUUUUGAAAAAAAUUACUUUAGUGUUCAAUAGGAGUGUGCAAUCGGUCGAUUCAGUUUU